rnacentral:lncRNA from 10 species
CCCAAGAGAGCAAAGACCCACUGCUUAUUUCCAUUUAUUUUCUCACCUACACUGGUGCCAUAAUUGAGGUAGAGAUACUCGAAAGAGCAAAUGGAGCCCAGAGGAGGAAGCCACCAUUAUUGGGGAGACCAGAAGGCUCACCAGAAGAGUAAGCAUCUGCCAGGGAGACAUCCCUCAACUAUUCUCCCAUGUGACCUUUGUUAAGGUGAAAGGAUCAGGCAAGACAUCCUCAUUCUUGUGGCUGUUUAGCUGACCUCUACCAAGACCUUAUGGCAGGAAUGUCAUGUUUCCAUAACCUUGAAGAUACCAAGUAUAUUAUCUGCUCUGCAAAGAGAUAAAGUACACAAGGCCUCCUUGUUUCAUCUUAGAAACUUCAGUUAAUAGAGAUCAGUAAAGCUAAUUGGAGCUCAUUAGUUGUAGAGGCCAAGUAUUCUCAUAGAAAAAUUAUUCCCAGGCCACAAUUAGAGAAUGUCAAUGCUAGAAGAUAUUGAAGGGUGAUUUUUUAAAAAUUCAACCCCCUUUUUUUUUACAGAUGAAAAACAGGCCCAGAAAGGGGAAGUGACUGGCUGCAGGUCAGCCAUGUCACCCACUUCUGAUUAGACCUAGAGUCAGGAACUAGCUGGAAGUCAGGGCUCCAUCACAGCUAACCACAGCAAGCCAUGGUGCAAGACCUGGGCAAAGUUCUAGAAAUCCACACAGAAAAUAUGAAAGAAAAGCAGUUUCCCUGGUGUGGCUUGGUCCUCGACUGGGAGGGAGAACUCUGCACUUUUGCCACACAAAGCCUGGUUGCUCAUCUUUUCCCCAUAGGAAACCACAGAAGCCCCUUUAUUGUUGGGAGCUGGUGGGGACCCAAUACGUUCUUUCCCCAGGAGAUCAGUUCCUAGGAAGCCAUAAACCAGUCUUUUCAUUUUAUUUAGGCCUCACAAUUAUCCAUAGAGAUGGGCAUCCUCAUUCCAAACCAGCAGAGGAACAGACAGAAAGCUGCAAAUGUCUCUGAGCCUCCCUGUCUCAUGGCUCAGGGUGGCCAGCCCCGACUGGAAGCAUAGCUACCUAGUUCUGAGGGCCUUCUGUUCUCACCAUACCCUGCUGCCCAUGCAUAUUGCUUAUCUCAAUAAUACAAACCAUGUUUAUUUGUUUGCUUGCUUUAUUUGUUUCUCCGAUAGAAAAUAUGCUCAAUGGGGGCAGGGGGAUCUUGCCUGUCUUGUUAUUUAGCAUUUCCUUAGGCCUUUGGGCAAUGGUGGAUACUUCUGUAGGUGUUCAGGAAGGGGAAGAUAGAGGACAGGGAAAGGAGGAGGGAGAAAAGGAGGAAGGAUAGAGAGGAAUAAAGGAAGAAAUUCUGCCUAGGUGCCCUGUACCUCUAUUUUCUGUUCUAGAAUCGGAUCAUUAUAAUGACAACCCCUCUAGUGUGCACAACUUCUACCAUUUAUAAAAUGUUUUGGCAUUCUUUGGAUUCUCCCUAUAACCCUGUAAAGUAGAAAGAGAAGCGCUCUUUAUCCCGAUUCUAUAGAUACAUUCACAAAUUGAUCAUCUCCUGAGAACUGCCAAGUACUAACAACCGUGAUAGCCACGGAUGCACCCAUGACCAUAAUAACCUGGUUCUCAUGGGGAUUUCUUUUGACCUGUCUCCCAAAAUAGAGUAUUGCAGGCAACAGGAAGGCCAUAAUGGCGCUGUGUUCACAGAGAGGGAUUUGCUCUUUGAGUCUUCCCCAAGCUCCAUGCUCCAAACAAGGUGGAACCUUGAGAUGAGUUUUAGAAGGGUAUGUGCAGAAGGAACAGUGCAUACAAAGGUGUACACAUUUGAGAAGUGUGGGGCCUUCCAGCAAUGUGUCUGCCACCUAAGGUGCCUGCAGAAGAGCAGAGGCACUGGCCUUGGAACAGAGAGCAGUGACCAGACCUCAGAGAGCCCUCAAUGCCAGGUGAAUAAGCUUGGACUUCAGCCUGGAGACAUAGGGACCACUGAUGUGUAUACACCAGAAAGUGGCCACAUCUGAUCUUCAAGUCAGAAGAUCACUUUCAAGGAGGCAGUAGAGAAGAUAGAAAGGAGAAGGGAAAGGCAGAAAGGGCAGUGAGAACAAUUCCAGGGCUGGAAGGAUCAUCCUGGAGAGAGAGAGGAAGAGAGUCUGCACCAGGCAGCCCUGGGACUCUGCAGCAGAGAGACUCAGGUAGAGUCAACAACAGAAUGGGCUGUGCUUCUGGGAGAGGAGAGAUCUGCCCAGGGUCUCCAUAGAAAAUAGAUGGUAAACCUUGGUCUUCUGUAUCCUGGGUCAAAAUUCUUCCCAUUGCAGGGCAAGUGCUGCCUCACACAUGAACCUUCUGGUCAGUUCCCCCAAGGAGUACUGCGUUCCCCAGGAGCCUACCUUCUGCUCAGCUACCAGCUCCUGGCCCUAUCCCUCCCUGCCUCUGCUUACCACCACAAAUAAAAGCUUCUUUACCUUCCAGGGAGUGUUAGAGAUUACAAAGCUGCCAGCCAUAGGCAACAAUGUCCUCUACCCUUGAGGGUUAAUGUGGGCCACUACCACCUACUGAGGUACCUCCUGUUCAUUCAUUCAUUCAACAUUUAUCUUGUUUAUUUUGUACUGAGCACAGGGAUCCAUUUGGCCUCUCAGAACUUCUCUACAGUUGUCCUUUUGAAGAUUUGUUUAAUGCUAAAGCUCAAAGAGACUUCUGAGCUUUACUUGGGCUCAUGGUAGCCAUGUGAAGUGUCCAGGGCCACAGCAAGCGGGUUAACAGCUCAAGUCCUGAACUCACUUCCAACCCCAUGGGAUUUCCAAUGACCUCUUAGUGGCCUAGGCAAUUAGGACUUCAUCUUCGGUCUGAUCAAAACAGAAUGGUUUUCAUGACAGGAACAGGGAGGAUGUUGACCUACAGAGGAUCCAACAGGGGAGUGACUGUCCUCGGUCCCUAGGAGAGACAAUGGAAGAUCUGGUUGCUCGACACCAUGCACACCAGCAGCACUCUGAUACAUAUGGUGUUUAUCCUUUCCUCAUUCUUUGGUGAUGUGCUCGUUGAUGAGCUGUGGAGCAUAUCCAGAAUGUUUUUGGAGCUGUUAGCUAUUAUGUCCUAAAAAAUAAUAAAUUGCAC